rnacentral:rRNA from 1 species
GCUCCCUGGGUGGCGAGUGGCGGACGGGUGAGGAAUACAUCGGAAUCUGCCCAAUCGUGGGGGAUAACGUAGGGAAACUUACGCUAAUACCGCAUACGACCUUCGGGUGAAAGCGUGGGACCGCAAGGCCACGCGCGAUUGGAUGAGCCGAUGUCGGAUUAGCUUGUUGGCGGGGUAAAGGCCCACCAAGGCGACGAUCCGUAGCUGGUCUGAGAGGAUGAUCAGCCACACUGGAACUGAGACACGGUCCAGACUCCUACGGGAGGCAGCAGUGGGGAAUAUUGGACAAUGGGCGCAAGCCUGAUCCAGCCAUGCCGCGUGUGUGAAGAAGGCCUUCGGGUUGUAAAGCACUUUUGUCCGGAAAGAAAAGCUCUCGGUUAAUAGUCGAGGGUCCUGACG